AUUGAACGCUGGCGGUAUGCUUUACGCAUGCAAGUCGAACGGCAGCACGGGGCAACCUGGUGGCGAGUGGCGAACGGGUGAGUAACAUAUCGGAACAUGUCCGGAAGUGGGGGAUAACGUACCGAAAGGUACGCUAAUACCGCAUAUGCCCUGAGGGGGAAAGGGGGGGAUCGCAAGACCUCUCGCUUUCGGAGUGGCCGAUAUCGGAUUAGCUAGUAGGUGAGGUAAAGGCUCACCUAGGCGACGAUCCGUAGCUGGUCUGAGAGGACGACCAGCCACACUGGAACUGAGACACGGUCCAGACUCCUACGGGAGGCAGCAGUGGGGAAUUUUGGACAAUGGGCGAAAGCCUGAUCCAGCCAUACCGCGUGAGUGAAGAAGGCCUUCGGGUUGUAAAGCUCUUUCAGCCGGAAAGAAAUCGCACUGGUUAAUACCUUGUGUGGAUGACGGUACCGGAAGAAGAAGCACCGGCUAACUACGUGCCAGCCGCCGCGGUAA
rnacentral:rRNA from 1 species